rnacentral:tRNA from 1 species
GGACCUAUGGCUCAGUGCUAGAGCAUCUGCUUUACAAGCAGAAGACCUCCGGUUCAAUCUCUGACAUGUCAA